rnacentral:lncRNA from 1 species
UUGCUGAGGAGGGGGAAGAGGAGGGAUUGGUGCUCUCUUGCAGCACCAGCAAGGUGCAGCAACUUGGCUAGGUGGAGUUUCACUGCAGCUGAGCCUGGUUUGCUCCAGAGGGCAAGGAAGGCUGUCCAUCUAGCCUGGUGGCCAGUACAACUCCAGGAGUCCCUGAGGCGUGUAAGGCAGCAAGUGCUCACCCAGAUUCCACUGUGCUACACCAGCAGCUUGCAGCCAGCAUGGAGAAGGACAGCCUGAGUCACACUGAUCAGCAGUAUGAGUGCAUGGCAGAGACUGGAGAAGGCGCCUGCCUACAGGAAGGUGUUCAAGGCCUGCAACCUGAAGAAUGGCAGCCCCUUCCUGACUCUGAAGCACUUGGGAGUGCAGACCAGUGAGGAGGGCAUGCUGCUCUCCACCAUCCACGAGGUGGCGGUGCUGAGGCACCUGGAGAAUUCCAGCACCAGAUCAUGGACAGUUCUGUAUGAACUUCUCAUAUCCAGGAAAUGGAGCAAGAGGAAAGCCAAGCAGAAGGCAUCCAUUUCCAGCACCCUCAACACCUUUUCACAGGACGGGGCUAUUUCACAGGGAGAAUGGCAAUCAAGGAGAGACAAGACCAAGGCAGAAGGAAUCUGCCAUCCCUUCUUGUAAAAACAGAAGAAUGAAAUCAUUCUGGGGAAGGCACA